rnacentral:rRNA from 1 species
CCCCGGGCUUAACCUGGGAACUGCGUUNUGAACUGGGUAGCUAGAGUAUNUCUGAGGGGGGUAGAAUUCCACGUGUAGCAGUGAAAUGCGUAGAGAUGUGGAGGAAUACCGAUGGCGAAGGCGGCCCCCUGGGAUAAUACUGACGUUCAUGCUCGAAAGCGUGGGUAGCAAGCAGGAUUAGAUACCCUGGUAGUCCACGCCCUAAACGAUGUCGAUUAGCUGUUGGGCAACUUGAUUGCUUAGUAGCGUAGCUAACGCGUGAAAUCGACCGCCUGGGGAGUACGGUCGCAAGAUUAAAACUCAAAGGAAUUGACGGGGACCCGCACAAGCGGUGGAUGAUGUGGAUUAAUUCGAUGCAACGCGAAGAACCUUACCUGGUCUUGACAUGUACGGAAGAACUCAGAGACGAGUUUGUGCCUUCGGGAGCCGUAACACAGGUGCUGCAUGGCUGUCGUCAGCUCGUGUCGUGAGAUGUUGGGUUAAGUCCCGCAACGAGCGCAACCCUUGUCAUUAGUUGCCAUCAUUUAGUUGGGCACUCUAAUGAGACUGCCGGUGACAAACCGGAGGAAGGUGGGGAUGACGUCAAGUCCUCAUGGCCCUUAUGACCAGGGCUUCACACGUCAUACAAUGGUCGGUACAGAGGGUAGCCAAGCCGCGAGGUGGAGCCAAUCCCAGAAAACCGAUCGUAGUCCGGAUUGCACUCUGCAACUCGAGUGCGUGAAGUCGGAAUCGCUAGUAGUCGCAGGUCAGCAUACUGCGGUGAAUACGUUCCCGGGUCUUGUACACACCGCCCGUCACACCAUGGGAGUGGGGGAUACCAGAAGUAGGUAGGGUAACCGCAAGGAGC